CUCCUGUCAAUGUGCAAAAGGAAAAGCAUGUUCAGAUGGAGAAAAUGCCAUUGAUAGCUCCUAAAGUCAGCGUGCUACAUGGUUCUAAAGUUCAGACCAAGGUCAGCAAACCUGAGGCUUGAGGUGCUAAUGGAGCAAGAGAGGAGAAAGUAGGGGUAAGAAUUAAAGUGAGUUGCAGUUUAAAUCAUAUGCAAUUGCAAAACCAAAAUCCAACCUACUGUCUAAGAAACUGCCAGUGCUCCUGGAGUAAUGUGUAGAGUCUGUAUGUAAAGGAUUGUUUCCUUUCAAUAGGAUUUACAGUUUGUAGACAAGAGUUACGUUCUGUAAUGUAUGGCAAGAGAUCUGUCCAUUUGGAAUAUUAUUGUUAAAAUCCACUAGAAACAGAGAUCUUGCUACUCAGGUACUCACUGAGCCAUGGCCAGCUGCAGGGCUGCAGGCAGCAUUUAACAAAAAGGACUAGUGGAAUCCAUUGCAGUUGGCAACUCCUAGGGCAGUAAAGCAGUAAAUAAUCCCAGGUCAUGGAGUAUUGUUGGAAGGAGUGGCUCAGGCAGCGUUCAGCACUGCUGCCAGCUGAGGCUGCUGCUGCUGGACUGUGCCCACCCUGCUGCAGUCAGGGCAGUGCUGCAGCCAGCACAGGCUGCUCCAGGGACAGACUCUCCACAGGCUGGGCCCACCUGAGCCUUGGGGAUGGCCUCUGGAUCUGCUUCCCUGGCCCCUGCCACCCCACUCUGCUUGCACAGAGAAAUGUGUUACAGCAAGGCUUUGCCCUGAGAGCACCUGCCUUGGACAUCAGUGUGGCAACAACUCCUUCACAGCUGAGCUGAGCUCCUCACUCUCAGUUUAAUUAGCAAAAUGUUUGAGGAUCUGUUCUAGAGCUUAAGUGUCUUUUGUGCUGCUAAAAGUGGCACUUAAGUGCUGCAAGGUGGUUCCAGCAGCAGGUCAAAGGUUGCCACUACAGUCAGCAGGAGGCUCUUUGCAUGGCACUUAAAGUAUUUUUGACAGGGGUUUUGUUUUUACAAGCAUUUGCUUUUUAUUAUUUUCACCAAAAUAAAGCAUAUAGCAUACAGUGUUUUCACACAUUUAGGAGAUAAGUAAGUGUAUCUCAAAUUCUUUAAUACGUAAUACGAAGUUAUUUCUUCAUUGAUUUUAAUUUAAAUACAGCUUGUUUGCCUUUUUUAAAAACAAACUUUUAUUGUGUUACCAUACAUUUCCCUUGUUAACUUACAGAUGUUUAAAUAACAACUGGGAAAAUACAGUGAUGUGUAAUGCUAGAGAUAAAAAGUUGCUCCAUUGGGAUGAAACCUGUAUAUCAUGUUACCAACCUGUAAAUUAAAAAACCCAAUACAUUAAAUGAAUGCUGUCACUUGAACAGAGAAAGAAAACCGUAAGAGAAUAACAAAUACUUCACCUCCGAUUUGUUUGAAAAAUAGUAAGAAAAUAAUCCAGUAUUUUAUAUUUCCACACUGAUUGGUAUGCAUAUUAAUUUAUCUUCUAUUUGUUUGCAAUUAUAAAUAAAUAGAGGUAUAAAGACAAAAUCUCACACUGCCGUUCCCUUGAAUUUGCCAGCUACAGUAAAUGCAUUAUUUUAAGAUCAUAAAUACAUUCUCAUUCAGCUUAAUCAAAUACCACAGGACUAACUUCAUGUGCUUUGUUUCAUGCUGCAUAGUUGAGAAAGGAAAAAAUCUGGUGGCACUUGGUAUCUUUAAUGGCACUUCUUUCAGCAAAGGAUAGGAUGCAUUUGUGUCACUAGCCAGGAUUACCCUUCAAACCAGUCCCUUAAAAUAGGCUUGAAAAA